UAUUGGUCAAUAGCCUAACGGCUGAACCAGCAACUUGGAGGAAUGUAUAGGGAAAACUGGUAAAAUGUGAUGUACCUAGUAAUAUUAGUAAUAAAUAUGAGAUUAACAAAGUUAAUUAAAAUUCUAAGUAGGUAUAUGAUUAUGACAAUAUCUGCAUAGGUCUUGACCAAGUCACGUGCCAGCAGUCGCGGUAAUACGUGGAAGACGAGUGUUAUUCAUCUUUAUUGGGUUUAAAGGGUACCUAGACAGUUAAUUAAGCAAUAAAAUGUACUAAUUAACUAGAGUUUAAUGUAAGAAGGAUUGAGUACGGUGAGAGUAAAGAUAAAAUUUUUUGAUACCACUUAGGAACUGGUAACAGCGAAGGCUACCUUCAAUGUAAAAAACUGACGUUAAGGGACGAAGG
rnacentral:rRNA from 1 species